rnacentral:tRNA from 1 species
GUGAAUGUAGCCCAGUGGUAGAGCAUUUGCCUAGCACUGCAAGAGCCUAGGUUCAAUCCCUAGUACCAACA